UACAUGGGGUGCAAACGUUGCUCGGAAUUAUUGGGCGUAAAGCGCACGUAGGCGGUUCGUUAAGUCGGAUGUGAAAGCCCUCGGCUCAACUGAGGAAGUGCACCCGAAACUGGCGAGCUUGAGUACGAAAAGAGGAUCGCGGAAUUCCCGGUGUAGAGGUGAAAAUUCGUAGAUAUCGGGAGGAACACCGGUGGCGAAGGCGGCGAUCUGGGGUCGAUACUGACGCUGAGGUGCGAAAAGCGUGGGGGAGCAAAACAGG
rnacentral:rRNA from 1 species